rnacentral:sRNA from 1 species
UUGAGUAAUGCAAGAAAGCCAGCUGGGAGAAAACUUUUUGCUUUGUAGAAAGCCCUUUCUUUCAUUCAACGCUGGGUGCUCCGUGAACUAUAAAUGGCAGAAGCUUGGCUCUGAGCUGGUCAUUCGCUGGCAGGAAGAUCUCAUCUCAAUAUGUUAUGGUUGCGCAUUGCAAUUAUUUCUUUGCUCGCUUGGAUUGUGUAUUCCGCAGUUAAUAAAGAUAUUUUUGAGGAUAAUUGGUUUAAGGAGCUUCAACGGAAGUUACACAAAGAUGUCUGCCUCCAGAAACCUUCCUAUGGCAAAUGCAAAGGACAUCGCCGGCUUUGGUACUUCAAUGGCAGUCGGAAGAAAUGCGAGACGUUCAUCUAUUCGAACUGCGGCGGUAACCCUAAUCGUUUUUACAACUAUGAAGAUUGCCACGACUUUUGCCAAAAACGCGACCCGUUUACUAUCUAUAAAUCUAUACAAAUGAAUGAUUGGGUAAAAGGGAAUAUAAAAUAGCCAAAUAAAAUAAAUAUUCUUUA